AAUAGGAGAAUGACAAAUUAGAUUUUUACUUUUUAAAUUUUUUCCUCCUGAAAAAUUCAAAUUCAACUAAAAUCUAAAUAUCAGGAGUAAAAAUCUGAUUUGUCAUUCUCCUAUU
rnacentral:pre_miRNA from 1 species